rnacentral:lncRNA from 1 species
ACAACAUUAACAAGGAUGAAAACAAAAUAUCGACAGAACAUAAAAGAAUACUAACCUGCAGACAUGCUGCUUGAUGAAGAGGCCAUCGCAGCACUUACACAACCCUUCUCCUAUCUGCAAAUCUCAAUGCUCUCCAAAAAAUAGGUUAUUGGUGCAAAGAUGAGAGCGUUACCUUUGUGAGAGCAGUGGCUUAUGUAUAUAUACUAAGCAUAUCGAUUGCCCUAUUACAAUCCAAUAAGGAAUAUGAGUUCUAUACAGGAGUUCUCAAUAUCCUACCCACAAUAGGAUUACUCCAGCCAACAUGACUAAGACUUCUUUUAUGAUAAUGUUAAUUAUCCCAAAACAUGUAAGAAUCAUACUCAUACUCUAACAUUCUCCCACUUGAGUAUGAUUCAUCACAACAGAUAAUUAUCUCAAAUGUAUCAAAAAGGUGAUCACACAAGUCUUUUAUCAUUACAACUAGUGCACAGAUACAUCCAGCUUACACAAACCAAAACAAUGAAUUUGUAAUCUCCUUUGUAACACAAAAUACAAAAUCAUCUUACAAAUCACAAUGUCCAAUUUAUGCUUAUAGCAAUGCAUCUCAAUACAGGAGUAAACCCAAAAACGUAUACUCCCACUCACAUAGCCCAAAAUCAAUAUCAAAAUAUCCAUCAGUGAACUGUUAACUCAAAAUCACUCACUAAAGAGUGAACAACACAGUUAUGACACAUUCAACAGCUUUAUCAGUACUAAAAAUGAUUCACAAGCUUUUAUUGAAUCGAAAAACUAUUCUCUAGAACAAUCAAUCACAGAAAUAUCUCGAAAAAUUGCACUGAAUAAAAACCAUAACAAACUGCAAACAAAACAAACAAGAAAACUAACUAAAACACUUAGCUUCCAGAAAACUUUUGCAGAAAACCUCCCAUUUGAAAAGCAUUUUACUGUCAUCUUUCAGUAGUUCUAACAUACUGUUGAAUACAACAACAAUUACUCCCACUUUUCAAAAGCUUCCAAUACUCCCAUCCGAGUUACAUGAGUCUUGAAAAAAAUUUGGCAAUGCCUUUGUUAAAGGAUCGGCAAUCAUCAAAUCAGUAGUUAAAUGUUCCACCACUAUUGCACCUUGCUUAACUUUCUUUCUGACUUUCAAGAAUUUCACAUCCAUUAACCUCGAGGCUGAAGUCCUUUUGUUGUUCUUGGAGAAGAACACUGCAGAAUUAUUGUCACAUAACAUCUUCACUGGUCUCUGUAUUGAGUCUACAAUCUUCAACUCACUGGAAAAAUUCUUAAUCCAGACUGCCUGUUUCAUGCCUUCAAAGCAUGCCACAAACUCCGCUUCCAUAGUAGAGGUAGAGAUCAUAGUUUUCUUGGCACUUCUCCAUGAAAUAGCACCUUCAUUAAACAUGAAAACAUAGCCACCAAUUGAUUUUCUUUCAUCCAGAUCACCAGCCAAAUCAAAAUCGGUAUAACCAAUUACUUCCAGUUCAUGUGCUCCACCAUAAACUAACAUGAAGCCUUUUGUUCUCUGUAAAUACCUUAAUGCCUUCUUAGUAGCCAUCCAAUGUGCUUCACUUGGAUUAGAUUGAAAUCUGCCCAGCAAGCCAACAAUGAAAGCAAGAUCCGGCCUAGUACAUAUGUUGGCAUACAUUAAACUGCCCACCAGAGAAGCAUACGGUUUUGAACUCAUCUUUCUCUUCUCCAACUCGGAUUUAGGACAUUGAUCUUGAGUGAAUUUGUCUCCUUUAUUCACAGGUACAUCAGCACCGUUACAAUCUUCCAUAUUGAACCGAAUCAAAACUCUCUCAAUAUAUCCCUUUUGUGAUAGCCCUAGAAACUUCUUUGCUCUGUCUCUGAUUAUCUCAAUCCCUAGGACAUAAUGAGCCUCCCCCAAGUCUUUCAUCUCGAAGUUAGAACUGAGCAUAGUCUUGGUUUCAUGCAGCAAUUGCAAAUUAGAACUAGCUAUCAAAAUGUCAUCCACAUAUGGUACCAGAAAAAUGAAUUUGGUACCUUUGAACUUGGAGUAUAUGCAGUCAUCAAGCUUGUUCUCAGUAAACCCGUGUGCAGUCACAACUUUAUCAAAUUUAAUAUACCAUUGUCUAGAAGCUUGUUUAAGUCCAUAGAUUGACUUAUUAAACUUGCAGACCAAACUAUCCUUCCCCCUUUCAAUGAAUCCAGGUGGCUGCUUCAUAUGAAUAGUUUCUUCUAAUUCACCAUUGAGGAAAGCUGUUUUUACAUCCAUUUGAUGUAAUUCAAGAUCAAAAUAGGCUGUUAAUGCCAUGAUAAUCUGCAUAUAGUCAUUUGAAGAAACUGGGGAAAAAGUGUCACUAAAAUCAACCCCUUCCUUCUGUGUAAAGCCCUUUGCUACCAGCCGAGCCUUGUACCUUUCAAUUCUACCUUGAGCAUCUCUCUUGGUUUUGUAAACCCACUUGCAACCUAUUGGUUUAGUUUUAGAAUCAGAUUCCACCAAAGUCCAAACAUUGUUCUUGGACAUGGAUUCUAAUUCUUCUUCCAUAGCCUUCUUCCAUAAUACAGCUUGUGGACUUGUCAUUGCCUGAGAAUAGGUCAGUGGAUCAUCAAUAUCUCCUAGAUCGAAUUCAUUCUCCUGGAGGUAUACAUAGUCAUUUGAAAAAGCCGGUUUUUUCACUCUUGUUGAGUGUCUCACAGGUUGCUGCACAGGUUGAUGAUUGAGUUCUUGAAUUUCUUCAGUCACAGAUUCAAGAUUAUCCUCAGCAACAGGCUGCAACUCAUUUUCAGUCAUCUCAGUGUCUUCAUCUCUAAUUGCAGAUGAUGUGUUUGAGAAAAUGGGAAUCUGCAGACAGUCAUUUAUUGCAGCAUCAUUAGUUGUUUGGUCAAUUUCUUCAAAUACAAAAGUUUCAGCUACCAUAUCUGCAACAUCUUGGUCUUCAAUGAACACAGCAUUAUGAGUCUUUUGAAUCCGUGAAUUAGCCUGUGGACAAUAGAAUUUAUAGCCCUUGGAUUUCUCAGAAUAUCCAAUAAAGUAACAAGUUGUGGUUUUGGCAUCUAACUUACUUUCAUUCGGAUUAUAAAAUCGGCCCUCUGACUUGCAUCCCCAUACAUGGAAAUGCACAAAGCUAGGCCUUCUACCUGUCCAAACUUCAAAAGGUGUUCCUUUCACAGAUUUAGUGGGCACUCGAUUCAAAAUAUAGUUGGCAGUCUUGAGUGCUUCACCCCAGAGAAAACUAGGCAGUUUUGAUCUUGAAAUCAUACUUCAAACCAUCCCAAUUAAAGUUCUAUUUCUUCUUUCUGAAACACCAUUUUGCUGUGGUGUCCCUGGUGUAGUAUACUGCGCCACAAUGCCUUGUUGCUGGAGAUAUAUUGCAAAAGGGCCCUUCUGUUGUCCAGCUUCAGUGUACCUGCCAAAAUACUCUCCCCCUCUAUCUGAUCUAACAAUUUUCAUUUGUCUAUUCAACUGCAUCUCAACUUCAGUCUUGAAGAUUUUAAAACAAUCAAGUACGGCUGAUUUUUCACUAAUGAGAAAAGUAGAACCAUAUCUAGAGAAAUCAUCAAUGAAAUUCACAAAAUAGCUAUUCCCACAUAUGGUUUUAAUAGGAAAAGGACCACAAACAUCAGUAUGCACAAUCUCAAGAAGGUUUUGACUCAUUUUUGCUUCAAAAUUUCUGAUAUUUGUUAACUUUCGUUUCAUACAAUCAACACACUCUUUUGCAUUUUUUAAAUCAAGUGCAGGAAUCAAGUUUGCCUUAGCUAAUUGUAAAACUCUUUCUUUGGAAAUGUGACCUAGUCUUUCAUGCCAUAAACUAUAUGAAGACUCUGAUUCAUGCAUUCGUUUAGCAGUAGUACUCAAAACAAGUGAUGGUUUUUCAAAUAUGUAGUCUAUCUCCCACAAUUCAUCAUGCAAAAUAGCUGUCCAAAGUAAGGAAUUUAUUUUGUUUUUCUGAAAAAAAUUUUAUGCAUGAAUCAUCACAAAGAAAACCGAAACCUUGUUUGACCAAUUUUGAUGCAGAAAUCAGACUUCUUCUCAUAUCUGGAACAUAAAGAACAUCUUUCAAAUGAAGAACAAAACCUGAUUUCAUUUUAAGUUUCACAACCCCAAUUGCUUCAACACCUACUUUUGUCCCAUUCCCCACAAAAACAUUAUAGGAGUCUUUAUAAGUUUGUUUUUGUUUUUCAAAUCCAUGCAAUGUGUUUGUAAUGUGAACUGAACAUCCUGUGUCAAACCACCAAGAAUUAGCAGGAAUUUCAAUCAAAUUUGAUUCUACACAAAUAUAGACAUUAGUUCUUCCUUUACUCCUUAGCCAAUCCUUGAAUAUUUUACAAUCUUUUCUAUAAUGACCCUUGAGUUUGCAGUGAUGACAUCUAACUUUAGUCACAUCUUUCACAUUAAGUUUGUUAGAUUUAGAGGGUUUUGAGUAUUUUGCAGAUUUAGCAGACUUAUCGGCAUGAUUCGAGAAUUUAGAUGCCUUACCAGAAGCAAUAGUGGUCUCCUGAUUUCCAGCAUGCACUAGGUUCACAUUUUCUGUUUCUCUCAUUUUCUCUUGCCUCUGCCAAGUUUCCUCUUGCACACAUUGAGCAAUUAACUCAUCCACAGUCCAAGUCUUGUCUUGAGUGUUGUAUGACACUUUCAAUUGGCUAUACUUCACUGGAAGAGCUUGCAGUAUCAUAAAAACCAGUUGUUUCUCACCGAUGUUGACCUCCAUGGAAUUGAGUUUCUCUGCUGCAUCCGACAUCUUCAUGAUGUGAUCUCUAAUGGAUGCAUUGCCUUCAAUCUUGUAGGUUGUCAAGAUAGACAUAUAUUGACUGAUCUCUGCCUUCUCAGAUUCUUUAAACUUAUUCUCAAUGGCCUGAAGAUAAUCAAUAGCAAGAUCAUGCUUCUUGAUUCCCCCUCUCACAGUAUCUGUCAUCCCACUUUCAAGGAUGGAUAAAGCAAUUUUGUUGGCCCUAGUCCACUUUUCAAACUCAGCCUUCUCUGUCUUGGUACUUUUGUCGGUCAAUGGUGAUGGUCUAGGCGUAUCUAAUGCUAUAUCAAACUCAUUAAGAGUAAGCAAUAGGCCAAUUUCACGCCUCCAUCUUUUGUAUUACUACCCCCAGUGAGAAUGGGAACACUAGCAAGGUUGAGAAGUCUCAAUUAAAGGCACAAUUUUUCCAGACAUUUCAUUUUACAAAACAAUCACCAAAAAAACACAUUACUCAAUUCAGAUUCAAUGUUCAUAAGAAAAUCAUAUACUUCAAACAACUUAUUAACUCAGUAAUUCUGAAAAUUAAGUUCAUUUUCCAAUGAAAAUAAUUUAGUCAAAUUAUACAGUGAAUUCGAAAGCAUGAAAUUCAGUGAAAUUCUUUCAAUGAUCAAAUUUAAACAUUAUGGAACUUUUCAGAUUACCUUACAAUUCAAUAAGAAAUAACGCAACAAUGUAAAAAUUCAUGAGAUCCAAAAGAAUGUGUUUCCUAGAUUAUCACUUGAUCUAUUCGAAAAAUUAAUCAAAACCCAAUGUUGAUGAAGAAUUCCCUUGUCCAGAAUACCAAUGAUCAAAAUGCUUAUUAUAUAGAAAAACGACGUCAUUUAUUAUAUAGAAAAGCCAACGCAAAUUAGUUCCUCAAUUGCAGUUCGUGUUCUGUCCAAUUGAAUUUAAUCACAAGAUUUAUUUUGGCUUUGAGACCACAUGUUAGAAUAACUCAGAGACAUCAAAACCUAGAUCAGUCUCUUCCUAUGAACCGCAUUGAAUCAAGUGAUCAAAUCACAACAUUAACAAGGAUGAAAACAAAAUAUCGACAGAACAUAAAAGAAUACUAACCUGCAGACAUGCUGCUUGAUGAAGAGGCUAUCGCAGCACUUACACAACCCUUCUCCUCUCUGCAAAUCUCAAUGCUCUCCCAAAAAUAGGUUAUUGGUGCAAAGAUGAGAGUGUUACCUUUGUGAGAGCAAUGGCUUAUGUAUAUAUACUAAGCAUAUCGAUUGCCCUAUUACAAUCCAAUAAGGAAUAUGAGUUCUAUGCAUGUGCAAAUACAGGAGUUCUCAAUAUCCUACCCACAAUAGGAUUACUCCAGCCAACAUGACUAAGACUUCUUUUAUGAUAAUGUUAAUUAUCCCAAAACAUGUAAGAAUCAUACUCAUACUCUAACAUAUAAUUGAUAAAGCCUAAAGUUUAUAGCCUCUAUAUAACCCAAAUGAGAAUACGAAUAUGUAGGACCCGGUAAAUACAACCUACCGUGAGUAUUUUUUCCUCCGACAUUGAUGAGAAAGUUGCAUUGGCCUUUUCUUAGAAAUUUAAUUGCACAUCCUAGUGCCCAAAUUAUUUGAUUGAAUCAGAAUCUAGUGGUCGUUGAUUUGAAAUAAUUGAGGG